rfam:Ixodes scapularis strain Wikel colony gcontig_1108379887520, whole genome shotgun sequence.
UCCUGAUUAGCUCAGGUGGUAGAGCGCCCCACUGGAAAUGGAGAGGUCUCUGGUUUGAUGCCAGGACCAGGCA